CAGCGGCGGACGGGUUAGUAACGCGUGGGAACGUGCCCUUUAGUACGGAAUAGCCAUUGGAAACGAUGAUUAAUACCGUAUACGCCCUAUGGGGGAAAGAUUUAUCGCUAAAGGAUCGGCCCGCGUUAGAUUAGGUUGUUGGUGGGGUAAUGGCCUACCAAGCCUACGAUCUAUAGCUGGUUUGAGAGGAUGAUCAGCAACACUGGGACUGAGACACGGCCCAGACUUCUACGGAAGGCAGCAGUAGGGAAUCUUGGACAAUGGGCGAAAGCCUGAUCCAGCCAUGCCGCGUGAGUGAUGAAGGCCCUAGGGUUGUAAAACUCUUUCGCCAGGGAAGAUAAUGACGGUACCUGGUAAAGAAACCCCGGCUAACUCCGUGCCAGCAGCCGCGGUAAUACGGAGGGGGUUAGCGUUGUUCGGAAUUACUGGGCGUAAAGCGCACGUAGGCGGACUAGUCAGUCAGAGGUGAAAUCCCGAGGCUCAACCUCGGAACUGCCUUUGAUACUGCUAGUCUAGAGUUCGAGAGAGGUGAGUGGAAUUCCGAGUGUAGAGGUGAAAUUCGUAGAUAUUCGGAGGAACACCAGUGGCGAAGGCGGCUCACUGGAUCGAUACUGACGCUGAGGUGCGAAAGCGUGGGGAGCAAACAGGAU
rnacentral:rRNA from 1 species